rnacentral:lncRNA from 1 species
AUAUAGUUUUUUUUCCUGUCAAGACAAAAGAAGGACAAAUGGUUUUGUUUGCUUCUUGAAUGCACAUGAACAUGUUAUGGAAGGUAAAGAGAAAAAUGUUAAAAAAAAUUGAAGGAUCAUAGGUUGAAGUUCCUAUGAGAAAAGGGUAAAAGUAUGAGAAAAAAGAGUACAUCAAAUGAAAGAGUGAACAUAUUUAUAAGAGUUUGGGGGUUGUAUC